UUUUUUUUCGAUUUUAGGUUGUUGUGGCACAAUCAGGUGGAUUGGCCCCUCUUCUAUCACAGGAUAUGAGUCCAAAUGGCAGUUUAGGUGAUUUCGAAGAUAGGCUGUAAAGAAGCAAGAGUUAGGAAGAACGAGUACAUGAUGGUUGAUGGUGAUAGUUAUUGUGCGGGAUGAGUACAUUGAGUUAUAGGUUAUCGGUUAAUGUAAAGAGAUAAAAAAGCUGCACUCGUUCAUUGGGAGCAAUUACUACAUCAGAUUGGCAAUGGAUGGAACAAAGUUCGAGGAGCAUCAAAGGAUUACAUUUUGAAUUUUUGGAUAUAUUUUGUCAUAGGUUUUUGUUAUGAACUUGCAAGCUUAGAAGUUUUUUUGGAAUUACAUGUUUGAAGUUUGGGAUUGUAAGGGAUUUGUACUUAUAUUAGAUGUUUUGGAUUUGAUAUUUUACUUAUAUUUAAUAUGCUACUACUUUUGAAU